CCUAAUCGCACAGAUCGACUCUGCAACGACUUGUUGAAAAAGUUGAGCUUGUCAGAAAGGUUGAAAAGCAGACAGUGGUGGGAUGCAACAAUGGCGAGCUCGAGAUGGUAGAGAGCAAUGGUGAUGAGACUACGAGAUGGUAAGAAAAAAUGAGUAGUGGUGGGAAGAAGUUCCGGUGACCAAACAUUGGAGGGUGACAUUGCUGGUGGGAAGAAGUAUGAUACUAAGAUGGUAAGGAAAAAUAAGAAGGAAAAAUGAGCUUGAUGUUUGUCAUAUAUAUUGACAGUAGAGGCGAAAUUUAGGUGGGAAAAUUCCCGCUCUUUUUACUGAUGGACAUAAGCCUUCGGUAAAUUCGUCGGUAACGCGAUAAGUGAAAUAAUGGGCAGGAAAAUUCCUACUCUUUUUACCGACGGACAUAAGCCUUCAGUAAAUUUGUCGGUAAGUGACAUACACAUUACCGACAGACAUGAGCCUUCUGCAAAUCCGUCGGUAAGUGACAUACACAUUACCAACGGCUCAAUCCGUCAGUAAACCUCUCGGUAAUAUGUCAC
rnacentral:lncRNA from 1 species